rnacentral:rRNA from 1 species
CCUACGGGGGGCAGCAAUUAGGAAUCUUGCGCAAUGGGCGAAAGCCUGACGCAGCGACGCCGCGUGACUGAUGAAGUCUUUCGGGAUGUAAAGGUCUUUUCUGAAGGAAGAACACAAUGACGGUACUUCAGGAAUAAGCCCCGGCUAACUACGUGCCAGCAGCCGCGGUAAUACGUAGGGGGCGAGCGUUGUCCGAAUUCACUGGGCGUAAAGCGCGCGUAGGCGGACUAUUAAGUUGAUGGUGAAAUCCCGGGGCUCAACCUCGGAACUGCCUUCAAAACUGAUAGUCUUGAGGUUUGGAGAGGGAAUUGGAAUUCCAGGUGUAGCGGUGAAAUGCGUAGAUAUCUGGAGGAACACCCAUGGCGAAGGCAGAUUCCUGGCCAUAUCCUGACGCUGAGGUGCGAAAGCCAGGGUAGCGAACG